rnacentral:rRNA from 1 species
GAUGAACGCUGGCGGCGUGCGUAAUACAUGCAAGUAGAACGCUGAAGCUUGGUGCUUGCACCGAGCGGAUGAGUUGCGAACGGGUGAGUAACGCGUAGGUAACCUGCCUCUUAGCGGGGGAUAACUAUUGGAAACGAUAGCUAAUACCGCAUAAAAGUCGACAUCGCAUGAUGUUGACUUGAAAGGUGCAAAUGCAUCACUAAGAGAUGGACCUGCGUUGUAUUAGCUAGUUGGUGAGGUAACGGCUCACCAAGGCGACGAUACAUAGCCGACCUGAGAGGGUGAUCGGCCACACUGGGACUGAGACACGGCCCAGACUCCUACGGGAGGCAGCAGUAGGGAAUCUUCGGCAAUGGGGGCAACCCUGACCGAGCAACGCCGCGUGAGUGAAGAAGGUUUUCGGAUCGUAAAGCUCUGUUGUAAGAGAAGAACGAGUGUGAGAGUGGAAAGUUCACACUGUGACGGUAACUUACCAGAAAGGGACGGCUAACUACGUGCCAGCAGCCGCGGUAAUACGUAGGUCCCGAGCGUUAUCCGGAUUUAUUGGGCGUAAAGCGUGCGCAGGCGGUUAGAUAAGUCUGAAGUUAAAGGCUGUGGCUUAACCAUAGUACGCUUUGGAAACUGUUUAACUUGAGUGCAGAAGGGGAGAGUGGAAUUCCAUGUGUAGCGGUGAAAUGCGUAGAUAUAUGGAGGAACACCGGUGGCGAAAGCGGCUCUCUGGUCUGUAACUGACGCUGAGGCUCGAAAGCGUGGGGAGCAAACAGG